UUGGUCAUUUUUAAUUUUUUUGAACUAUUGGUAAUAGAUUGGUAUUAAUUUUUUAAAAGGUUUAGACAUAUGCACCAGUGAAUCCUAACAACAAACACAUGAACUUGGAAGGGGAUCCUUUUCCAAGUGAGCCUUCAGUUGAGAGCCCAGCCCUGGCCAUCAUCUAAUCUGGAUUCCUGGCCCAGAGAAACUCUUUGGAAUAAUUCACCAGUGAAGUCAUCUUGGCCUGGACGGAAAUUGGAUCCUCACAACAAUCACAGGAGCUUUGAAGGUGAUCCUUCCCCAGGACAGAGUCUUGCUGUGUCUCCCAGGCUGGAAUGCAGUGGUGCAGUCUUGGCUCACUGCAACCUCCACCUCCUGUGUUCAAGCAAUUCUUGUGCAAGCAAUUAUCGUGCCUCAGCCUCCCAAGUAGCUGGAAUUACAGGCAUGUGCCACCAUGCCCCAUUUUUGGAUUUUUAGUAGAGAUGGAGUUUCAUCAUGUUGGCCAGGCUGGUCUCAAACUCCUGACCUCAAGUGCUCUGCCCACCUCAGCCUCCAAAAGUGCUGGGAUUAUAGGCGUUGAGCCACUGUGCCAGCCUGUAUUAAUAGUUAAGUUUUGAAAUCAGGAAGUAGAUGUCUACAAUUCCAACCUUUUGCCUCUUAUUCAAGAUUAUUUAGGCUGCUGUGGGUCUAUUGCAUUGCAUAUGAACUUUAACCUUGUUAAUUUAGGGGAAGGAAAUAUCACCUGGGAUUUUGGUAGAUGUUGCAUUCAAUCUAUAGAUCUAUUUGGAAAAUAGUGCCAUCCUAACAGUACUAACCCUUCUAAGCAAUGACCAUUCAAAUAUUUUCUAUUUAUUUAAUUUUCUUCAAUAUGUUUUCUAGUUUUUGUGUACAUAUCUUACACUUAAUUUGAUAAACAUGCCUAUUUUCGAUGCCAUUUCAAGUGGAAUGGUUUUCUGAGUUUUGUUUUUAGGUUUUUAAUUGCUAGUGUGUAGAAAUUCAAAGGAUUUUAUAUGUUGACCCUAUAUACUGUAAGUUUGUUACUCAUCUUUAAGUUUUAAAUAUAUUUUAUUAAAGUCCUUUGAUUUUUUUAUACAUAAGAUUAUGUCAUUUGCAAACAAGAGUUUGACUUCCCUUAUCUGCCUUAUUUGCUGCAUGGUUUUUUUUUUGUUUUUGUUUUUGUUUUUGUUUUCUGAGAGGGAGUCUCACUCUGUCACCCAGGCUGGAGUGCAGUGGCGCGAUCUUGGCUCACUACAAGCUCUGCCUCCCGGGUUCACGCCAUUCUACUGCCUCAGCCUCCUGAGUAGCUGGGACUACAGGCGCCUGCCACCAUGCCCGGCUAAUUUUUUUUUUUUGUACUUUUAGUAGAGACAGAGUUUCACCGUGUUAGCCAGGAUGGUCUCGAUCUCCUGACCUCGUGAUCCGCCUAUCUCAGCCUCCCAAAGUGCUGGGAUUACAGGUGUGAACCACUGCGCCUGGACUGCUGCAUGUUUUCAUCAUAGUGAGUUCAGGAAUUCUCAGGUGUUUCUGCAUCUUUUGAGAUGAUUAUGUGGUUUUGUUUUUUAUCAUAUUAAUGUAGUGCAUGGGAUUAAUUGUACUUGAAUGUUGAACAAAAUGUUGCUUUCCUGAGGUAAAUACCCUUGACAUAUUUUAUAAUACUUUUUAUAUGUUGCUGAUUUGUUUUACUAGGAUUUCCUUGAUGAUUUUUGGCUCUAUAUUCAUAAGGUGUGUUCUUAAUUUUCAUUAUUUGAAAUCUGUUUGUCUAGUUGUAUCAGGGUAAACCAACUCACAGUAUAAAUGAAAUGCGAUGCCUUCUCCACUUUGUUGUUGUUGUUUUUAACAACUUAUUAUAAAUUAAUAUUAAUUGUUAAGUGACUCCAAUAACUGACUAAUGAAUUACCUUGACUGGGGCAAGGAAGCAAAUCCUAGGAACAAUCACGUGAGCUUGGAAGGAGACCUUUCCCCAGCUGAGCCUCAGCCUGGGCCAUCACCUGCAUCUGGACUGAAGGCCCAAAGAAACUACUCCAUCGGGAAUUGUUUGAGACCAUGCAUUCUGUGGACACUCAUAUCGUGGAAUUAUAUUGCCAAUUGGCAUUCCUAAAGCUCUACACUAGCAGAACCUGCAGUCCAGUUAUCGCAAAAAAGAUGGAAAACAUGAAAGCUAGAAUUUUUGUAGGGAUUAUAUUGAAUCUGCAUAUACAUUUGGAAAGUAUAAGCAUCUUGGUUUGGAGUAAUUCACCAGUGAAGUCUUCUCAACCUGGGCAAUCAUGUGAGCUUGGAAGAUGAUGCAUCCCCAUCUCAUCUUUCAGGUGAAACCUCAGCCUUGGCCAUCACCUACAUCUGGAUUUCUGACCCAGAGAAACUGUUAGGCUACCAACAUGGGCAUUCUUUCAGCUGUUAUGUGUGUCUAUUCCAAUUAUGCAUCAGGAACUGGAAAAUUAUCAGAGAAUGGCUUCAGGGACCCACCAGACCCACUGUCUGGUCUACAGAGAAGAGAGAUCAGGGAGCUCUUCAGUUGUACCCAGCCUCCCCACACAAAUCUACCUAACAAAGUCCUGAUAAACAGUAUGUUUUCUGGAGUCUAUCAAUAUGGGUGUGAAGGCUGGUCUUAAACUCCUGACCUCAAGUGAUGGACCUGUCUUGGCUUCCAAAAGUGCUGGAAUUACAGGCAUGAGCCACCAUGCCCUGCUAUGAGGUCUUGUUCCUUUGGCCAGGCUGGAGUGCAGUGGCACAGUCGUCACUCACUGUAGCUUCAAACACCUGGGUUCCAGCAUUCAUCCCACUUCAGCCUCCCUUGUAGCCGGGACUACAGGUAUGAAAUAAUUUCCUAGUGAAGUCAUCUUAACAUGGAACUGGAAUUAAAUCCUAACAACAAUCAUGUGAGCCUGGGGAGGAUCCUUCCCCAGGUGAGCCUUCAGGGGAGACUUCAGUCUUGGCCAUCUUCUCCAUCUAGAUUCCUGACCAAGAGAAGCUGCUUGAGUGAAGUGGCGAGAUCUCGGCUCACUGCAACCUCUGCCCCCGGGGUUCAAGUGAUUCUCCUGCCUCAGCCACCACGAUUUAACACUGAGAAGUGGGCAGUCACAGAGAAAAAGAUCUGUGAACACCACUCUUCAGUUUAUGUAUUUCAUACCUUCAACAACAGCAAGUGGUGGGAAAACCUGGAGAUGCAGCCCCAGGUGCCUCCUGUGUUGCUGUAGAUGAUGCUGUGGACAUGGGGCUCCUCCUCCAGACGAUGCACAUCAAAGGCAGGACCAGCAGGGAGCCAUGAGAUCAGAACCUCUCUGUGGCGUCCGCGUGCACAAGGGGAGGAGCCCCUGUUGGGUGGGGUGGCGAAUUCAGUUAUUUUGUAUGAGCAUGAAUUUGUUAAAUAAUCAUUCUUCUUUCUGACCAAUGGCACAUUUCCCCUUCUGUCCUGGCACUGUAAUGUUACAUCUUGGUUUUUGGUUUUGUGUACAAAUGUGUUUAAAACUUGUGUAUUAAACACAAGGAAACACUCUUUUCUUGGUCACAUAGCCAUCAUGUACAACCAAAUUCAUACUUUUGUAUUUUUCCAAAACAAACAUCCCUGGGUGCUUCCUGCACAGACACAGACAACUCACUAGACAAGGUUUACCUCCUCCAGACCAUGCCUAUCCAAGACAGUGCCUAGGUAGAUGCAGGAGAGUUGAGCCUGUCUCUGUGGUGUCUUCAUGGGAAACACCAACAUUUUCUUGCUCUACUCUGGUGUUGGUUGGGGAAUUCGGUUAUUUCUGGGAAAGAUUGAGUGUGUCAAAGAAUCAUUCUGUUUGCUGUCUGAAAACAAAUGACACAGUAUUUGUUUUGAACAAAUGAAACAGUGUUUGUUUUGGUGUGCAAAGGCCUUUGACACUUUCUGUGUAAACGUACUUUUUUAUCAUCACAUAAACAUCAUGUAUGACCAAAUUUAAAUUUUUUUAUUGCAUAUUAAUGCCUUUUAUUCAUAAUCAUUUUUCAAAAUAUAUUUUAAUAUUUUAUCACUCUUUAUUAAGUUAAUGGAAAUAUCACCCAUUCUCUAUAAUUGUUUUCCACAAAUUUCCUCUGAAAUAGUUCUAGUUGAAGAGGUGCAGAAAGUUUGCUAGGAACCACAAGACAAAAUUUGCUAGAGUCUCAUAGUUAAAAAGGGUUUUGUAUAUGGCUUAGUUUGUUCUAAUUUGCAAGGUUCAAAAGCAUUAAUUUGAAUAGAUGGAAUAUCAAGACUCCCUUCCAGCACACAAAGACCAGUUAUUUUGUUAACAUGCACGAAUAAACUUCAGCAUAUUG